rnacentral:rRNA from 1 species
GAUGAACGCUGGCGGCGUGCCUCAAACAUGCAAGUCGAGCGGGGCUAUGUAAUAUCGCAAGGUAGAACAUAGCCUAGCGGCGAACGGGUGAGUAACACGUGGGUAACCUGCCUGGAAGACAGGGAUAACGAUUCGAAAGGGUCGCUAAUACCUGAUAAUAUCCUUUCAUCGCAUGGUGAUAGGAAGAAAGGGGAAACCCGCUUUCAGAUGGGCCCGCGUCCCAUCAGCUAGUUGGUAAGGUAAAGGCUUACCAAGGCGACGACGGGUAGCCGGUCUGAGAGGAUGUACGGCCACACUGGGACUGAGAUACGGCCCAGACUCCUACGGGAGGCAGCAGUUGGGAAUCUUAGGCAAUGGACGAAAGUCUGACCUAGCGACGCCGCGUGAGGGAAGAAGGCCUUCGGGUUGUAAACCUCUGUCAUGGGGAAGAAGUAAGUGACGGUACCCCAAGAGGAAGCCCCUGCUAACUACGUGCCAGCCGCCGCGGUAACACCACACUAGUAGU